rnacentral:piRNA from 1 species
UAUAAACAGGGGAGAUAUAAACAGGGG